CAAGGCCUGUUGCCAUCUUUGGCCAUUUACAAGGGGCCUAGGCUAAGCUGCAGAAGUGUGGCUAAGCAGAAGACCCCAAAGCCUGUUUCUGAGCAAUUGUAGCCUG